rnacentral:pre_miRNA from 1 species
GUGGCUGCUGGAUGGGUGCUCUCUACUAGUGCUGUGCAGAGGCUUUCGCUGAGGCUGGUGUGAGACUGCAGGGUUUCCCCCUAGGCUAUGGAGCCGG